rnacentral:rRNA from 1 species
AAAUAUUGGUUCGAGACCGAUAGCAAACAAGUACCAUGAGGGAAAGGUGAAAAGGACUUUGAAAAGAGAGUUAAAAGUGCCUGAAAUUGCUGAAAGGGAAGCGAAUGGAACCAGUUUUUCUUGGCGAGAUUGUUGCGUGCUAAUGUGAUGGCUUGUUGCUUCAACGCAAGUGUUGCAGCGGGUUUUGAUCUGGACGUGCGCGGUGCUUCUUGCCUUGGGUGUCAACGUCGGUUCAGACUUGAGGAAAACUCCAGGGACAUGGUAAGUCACUUCUGGGUGACUGAAAGUGCUUGGCAGAACUCAUUUCUGAACUGAAUUCCGCAUGUCUGGUCGCAGUGCUUUCACUUCCCGUGCUUCGUUCGGAGCUCUCUGGGCUCUGUGCUGGGCUGGGACGUGGGGCAUCUCCCUGACAUCAGUACGAUGACAAAAUGGUUUUAUUCGACCCGUCUUGAAACACGGACCAAGGAGUCUAACAUAUGUGCAAGUUCACGGGU